rnacentral:rRNA from 1 species
ACGCUGGCGGCGUGCCUAACACAUGCAAGUCGAGCGAAGCAUUUUGAAAAGCUUGCUUUUUAGAAUGACUUAGCGGCGGACGGGUGAGUAACGCGUGAGCAACCUGGCCUUUACAGGGGGAUAACAGUUGGAAACGACUGCUAAUACCGCAUAACACUUUAGUAUCGCAUGAUAUAGAAGUCAAAGAUUUAUCGGCAAAGGAUGGGCCUGCGUCUGAUUAGCUAGUUGGUGGGGUAACGGCCUACCAAGGCGACGAUCAGUAGCCGACCUGAGAGGGUGAUCGGCCACAUUGGUACUGAGACACGGACCAAACUCCUACGGGAGGCAGCAGUGAGGAAUAUUGGUCAAUGGACGCAAGUCUGAACCAGCCAUGCCGCGUGCAGGAAGACGGCUCUAUGAGUUGUAAACUGCUUUUGUAUGAGGGUAAAAUUAGGUACGUGUACCUAACUGAAAGUAUCAUACGAAUAAGGAUCGGCUAACUCCGUG